UAGGGAAUCUUCGGCAAUGGGGGGAACCCUGACCGAGCAACGCCGCGUGAGUGAAGAAGGUUUUCGGAUCGUAAAGCUCUGUUGUUAAGGAAGAACGAGUGUGAGAAUGGAAAGUUCAUGCUGUGACGGUACUUAACCAGAAAGCCACGGCUAACUACGUGCCAGCAGCCGCGGUAAUACGUAGGUGGCAAGCGUUGUCCGGAAUUAUUGGGCGUAAAGCGCGCGCAGGUGGUUUAGAAAGUCUGAUGUGAAAGCCCACGGCUCAACCGUGGAGGGUCAUUGGAAACUAAUAAACUUGAGUGCAGGAGAGAAAAGUGGAAUUCCUAGUGUAGCGGUGAAAUGCGUAGAGAUUAGGAGGAACACCGGUGGCGAAAGCGGCUUUUUGGCCUGCAACUGACACUGAGGCGCGAAAGCGUGGGGAGCAAACAGG
rnacentral:rRNA from 1 species